rnacentral:tRNA from 1 species
GCCUGGGUGGCUCAGUCGGUUGAGCGUCCGACUUCAGCUCAGGUCAUAAUCUCCCACUCUGUGAGUUCAAGCCCCACGUCAGGCU